rnacentral:tRNA from 1 species
GGGGGUAUAGCUCAGUGGUAGAGCAUUUGACUGCAGAUCAAGAGGUCCCUGGUUCAACUCCAGCUGCUCCCU